UCACCUUUUGGCGCAUUGCCAAAAGUGCGUGAGAAGCCGCAGUUCGUUGUGCUGAAGCAUGCUUCCUUGUGGGGCGGGAGCAACGAAUAUGGCGCCGCCCUCCUAGUUUUUUAACGUGUUCUCCGCAAUUCUAGCCAAUAU
ensembl:ncRNA F22D3.7 ncRNA